rnacentral:rRNA from 1 species
AUGAAAGGCAAAUGGGAUUCAGGUCCGGACCUUUUCCCUUUUUGGGGUUUUGGAUUGUCAUCAAAACCACGUUCGGGCUCCGGCACUCUUGCCAAAGCUCUCUCGAUGACCACGACGUGGAACAAAUGGAAGCAGUGGCAAAGUGGCAGCGACUUUGGCGUUGUUGAGUGCGCCGUUGCAGCAGUGUCCAGCGCUGUUGACCUGAAAAACCUUUCAAGAGCAGAAUCACGACUCCUCCAGCUCGCACAGACACUUUUCACCUUUUAUUACUUCGACGUCUUACACCAUCCACAGCCGGAUACACCCGAUCAGGCCCUUAAACACCUGCGGACGUACCCGUGUCCGUGGCAGUGA